CCUACGGGAGGCAGCAGUGGGGAAUCUUAGACAAUGGGGGAAACCCUGAUCUAGCCAUGCCGCGUGAUCGAUGAAGGCCUUAGGGUUGUAAAGAUCUUUCAGAUGGGAAGAUAAUGACGGUACCAUCAGAAGAAGCCCCGGCUAACUCCGUGCCAGCAGCCGCGGUAAUACGGAGGGGGCUAGCGUUAUUCGGAAUUACUGGGCGUAAAGCGCACGUAGGCGGAUCAGAAAGUCAGAGGUGAAAUCCCAGGGCUCAACCUUGGAACUGCCUUUGAAACUCCUGGUCUUGAGGUCGAGAGAGGUGAGUGGAAUUCCGAGUGUAGAGGUGAAACUUCGUAGAUAUUCGGAGGAACACCAGUGGCGAAGGCGGCUCACUGGCUCGAUACUGACGCUG
rnacentral:rRNA from 1 species